rnacentral:rRNA from 1 species
UACGUAGGUGGCAAGCGUUGUCCGGAUUUACUGGGCGUAAAGAGCGCGCAGGCGGUUGGGUAAGUCGAAUGUGAAAGCCCCCGGCUUAACUGGGGAGGGUCAUUCGAUACUGUUCAACUUGAAGGCAGGAGAGGGCAGCAGAAUUCCCGGUGUAGUGGUGAAAUGCGUAGAUAUCGGGAGGAAUACCAGUGGCGAAGGCGGCUGCCUGGACCAAUACUGACGCUCAGGUGCGAAAGCGUGGGGAGCAAACAGG